rnacentral:rRNA from 1 species
AUUGAACGCUGGCGGCAUGCUUUACACAUGCAAGUCGAACGGCAGCGCGGGGCAACCUGGCGGCGAGUGGCGAACGGGUGAGUAAUAUAUCGGAACGUACCCAAGAGUGGGGGAUAACGUAGCGAAAGUUACGCUAAUACCGCAUACGAUCUAAGGAUGAAAGUGGGGGAUCGCAAGACCUCAUGCUCCUGGAGCGGCCGAUCUCUGAUUAGCUAGUUGGUGAGGUAAAGGCUCACCAAGGCUACGAUCAGUAGCUGGUCUGAGAGGACGGCCAGCCAACCUGGAACUGAGACCCGGUCCGGACUUCUACGGGAGGCAGCCGUGGGGAAUUUUGUACAAUGGGCUCAAACCUGAUCAAGCAAUGCCGCGUGGGUGAAGAAGGCCUUCGGAUUGUAAAGCUCUUUUGUCAGGGAAGAAACGGUCUCAGCUAAUAUCUGGGGCUAAUUACGGUACCUGAAGAAUAAGCACCGGCUAACUACGUGCCAGCAGCCGCCGUAA